GGCACUCAAGAUGUCAGAGGAGCAACCAAGGAGGUUAGAUUAAUGAGGCCCUGUGAAGCUGUGGGUUGGGGGAAGAUGUUUGCGAUGGAUGUGAUCUCGGAACUCUGAAAGGCAUUUGACCCG